AUGGUGUCUCCGAACACAGUUAUUUCUGGGCUCCUUAACUCAAUUGAGGCCCUCAAUGGGACUAACUUUCCUACAUGGAAGGAGCAGAUUUCCAUUAACCUUGGGGUCAUGGAUCUUGACUACGCACUUAGGGAGAAGGCUCCAGUUCCCUUGUCCUCUAAUGAUGAAAACCUUGCUGAGAAAACUAAGGUUUAUGAGGCUAACAAGGAGAAGUGGGAGCGCUCCAAUCGAUUGUCGCUGAUGAUCAUGAAAAGCUCAAUUACUCUUGGGAUUAGGGGAGCGAUCCCCGAUUCCGAAUGUUCUAAGACUUAUCUGGCAUCGGUGUAG
rnacentral:rRNA from 1 species